rnacentral:rRNA from 1 species
GACGAACGCUGGCGGCGUGCUUAACACAUGCAAGUCGAACGAUGAACCGGUUUCGGCCGGGGAUUAGUGGCGCACGGGUGAGUAACACGUGGGCAAUCUGCCCUGCACUCUGGGAUAAGCCCGGGAAACUGGGUCUAAUACCGGAUACGACACUCCGAGGCAUCUUGGGGUGUGGAAAGUUCCGGCGGUGCAGGAUGAGCCCGCGGCCUAUCAGCUUGUUGGUGGGGUAAUGGCCUACCAAGGCGACGACGGGUAGCCGGCCUGAGAGGGUGACCGGCCACACUGGGACUGAGACACGGCCCAGACUCCUACGGGAGGCAGCAGUGGGGAAUAUUGCACAAUGGGCGAAAGCCUGAUGCAGCGACGCCGCGUGAGGGAUGACGGCCUUCGGGUUGUAAACCUCUUUCAGCAGGGAAGAAGCGAAAGUGACGGUACCUGCAGAAGAAGCACCGGCUAACUACGUG